AACGAACGCUGGCGGCAGGCUUAACACAUGCAAGUCGAACGCCCCGCAAGGGGAGUGGCAGACGGGUGAGUAACGCGUGGGAAUCUACCCAGAACUGCGGAACAACUGAGGGAAACUUCAGCUAAUACCGGAUACGCCCUACGGGGGAAAGAUUUAUCGGUGUUGGAUGAGCCCGCGUUGGAUUAGCUAGUUGGUGAGGUAAUGGCUCACCAAGGCGACGAUCCAUAGCUGGUCUGAGAGGAUGAUCAGCCACACUGGGACUGAGACACGGCCCAGACUCCUACGGGAGGCAGCAGUGGGGAAUAUUGGACAAUGGGCGAAAGCCUGAUCCAGCCAUGCCGCGUGAGUGAUGAAGGCCUUAGGGUUGUAAAGCUCUUUCAGUGGGGAAGAUAAUGACGGUACCCACAGAAGAAGCCCCGGCUAACUUCGUGCCAGCCGCCGCAGUAA
rnacentral:rRNA from 1 species